rnacentral:rRNA from 1 species
UUGGAGGGCAAGUCUGGUGCCAGCAGCCGCGGUAAUUCCAGCUCCAAUAGCGUAUAUUAAAGUUGUUGCAGUUAAAAAGCUCGUAGUUGAAUUUCGGGGUUGGUAGGUUGGUCAUGCCUCUGGUAUGCACUGGUCUCACUGAUUCCUCCUUCCUGAUGAACCGUAAUGCCAUUAAUUUGGUGUUGCGGGGAAUUUGGACUGUUACUUUGAAAAAAUUAGAGUGUUUAAAGCAAGCUAACGCUUGAAUACAUUAGCAUGGAAUAAUGAAAUAGGACGUUCGAUCCUAUUUUGUUGGUUUCUAGGAUUGACGUAAUGAUUAAUAGGGAUAGUUGGGGGCAUUAGUAUUCAAUUGUCAGAGGUGAAAUUCUUGGAUUUAUUGGAGACUAACUACUGCGAAAGCAUUUGCCAAGGAUGUUUUCAUUAAUCAAGAACGAAAGUUAGGGGAUCGAAGACGAUCAGAUACCGUCGUAGUCUUAACCAUAAACUAUGCCGACUAGGGAUCGGAUGAUGUUAAUUUUUUAAUGACUCAUUCGGCGCCUUACGGGAAAC